CCCCGUCCUCUGUAUUCCCAGGACUGUCCAGAAGAGAAGGUCCCGGAGAACCCUCAGAUGACAAAUCAGGGGGAAGAUCUGAUUGAUAUUAAAGAGGAGGCUGAAGAAGAGCGGAUGAUGGGCGAUUUCCCCCCGUGUAAGAGUGAGGUGGAGGAGGACAUUCCAAGAGAUGUCACCACAGGUAUGGAAUCAUGAAUGGAGAAAGUGACUUCAGGUUCUGUCCUUGGUGCCUUCAGGGCAGGAGGAGAAUCUGAUCACCGGCUGCUGCGCUGCUCUUUGAUUGGAGAUGUCUCCAUCACAUCAUGAAGUGUUCCCUUAUCCAGCUGAUGGCGAUCUCUGAUCCCAGCUGUUCCUCCAGUAUAUGACGGUCAGUCACUGUCACUGCCGGCCCUGUGAGAGAUCUGAG